rnacentral:tRNA from 1 species
GCUUCCGUAGCUCAGUUGGUAGAGCAGCUCAUUCGUAACGAGCAGGUCGCUGGUUCAAGCCCGGUCGGGAGCU